UGAUAGUAAUGGUAUCUGGGGAAAUGAUCAUCUUGCCUGAGAUCCCGCUUGGAAGAAGAAUGCCUCCGUGAAGCAGACGAACCGACGUAGUUGAACGGGUCCUCACAAUCCGGCACGCUGCGGAACUCUAUCGAGACGGGGAAACCGGAAACAAGCAUCAACACACGAAAUUCACCACACGAUGCACGACACAUAUGAUGCAUGAGCUACUGAAUACAUGCAAGUCACGACAUGACAAUUCCCACAAUCAAACACUACACAUUAAGUGAAGUUCAAUAUGCACGAGUUGCAUAUUGACGAAACUCCACGUUAAUUAUUUAGUUCACUCCCGGUUAUUUACACGGCAAUUUUAAUGUUGUUAAACAUGCAAGAGGUGAAGCGGGAAUUAAACUACCUACCUAGACAUUUUAAAUGAGGUCGGACAUGUCCUAUAGCAUCUCCGAGACGACCUCACAUGUUAAUUUACAAUUCUGUCCAGAUCUGAUCUAAUGCAAAUAAUUGGUUGUUAAACAGCAAAACAAAUAGGUUCACGUGAUUCUACGUGUCAAGGCAAGCAAUCUACACGUAAAGAACAUCUCCAACGGAGCUACGGAUCCAAAGAUACAAGCACCGCAAGAUAUGAUGGCAUGAAUGCAAAAUGUGUGCAACGGCGGCUACGAGCACUUCAAAACAAACAACCAGCAAGAGAAAAAUGAAACUACAUAAGAUUCUAAGCAAGUAUCAUGUAGGACACGAACAAAUCGGGGCUACGAUUCGAAAACUACGAGCAAAACAAGAAAACACCACAAUCUGCCUAAAACAGCUACAUAGCACUUUCUACGCCUCGCAACUUCGGCUACACAACUCCGAUGAGCUCAAGCAAGGCAUGGCAUGCAAGAGGGAAAGACGCACUACUACAAACAACUAACAACAACUAACAUGGCAGCAAGGAGCACUAGGAAAAGAAGACACAAAAUGACACCUCACGCACUAUUUCAGACUUAGUGAAAAUCUCACCUCCUGAAAGUGCAGUUUUCAGCCUGAAGCAAUAUUGACAGCAGUAAAAACCUAAGCUACAGGACUCCAAAUGGCAUGAAACUUAACAGCAUGCUCGAGAAACAUAAGGGGUACAACUAACUCCAUUGGAGCAACUCCAAAAGAGCUACAGACCACAAGCUAGAAGCAAACCAAAACAGCAACAAAAUAACAACAGAAUCCAGACUUAGUAAUAUUUCAGCUCCUCUAAAACAGCACUAUUCAAGCAACUUGAGAGCAAGCAAACAACACCUAAACAUGCAUUUCUAUUGCAACUAAAAUUACCAGGGCCUAAACAAAACACCCAAGAUCAACUCCCUAGUUGACAACUAAUUCAAACGAGGCACGAAAUAAAUUCUACGAAUUAAACAAAAGAGCAUCACGGCAAAAUAUCUCGCGAACUAACUUCCUCAAAAGCUAAAACUAAUUGCACAGAAAAAUGCAUGGGAUUUUUCUACCCCGAAAACAUAUAUAAAAUGUGGGGUUUGCAACACAAAAUAUCGCCACCCAAUAAUGCGAGAUAAUACCUCUAAACGGGAAAAUAAACUACCGACAACACCCUACACGGAAAAAUACGAGUGACCGCUCUAAAAUACGUAGGAAUAUGGUCCCUAAAACAUGGACAUUAAAUCUAUGGCAUACGGGCAGUCCGGACACGCGCGAAAAAUAACUACGGAUCGGAACCUAGUUAAACAGCACGUAAAACGAGGUAUUAGGCACUCUAAACAACGUUAAAUAAAUAUGCAUGUUGGAUAAUCGCGUUCUACUCGCGAAGCUACCCCAAAAUGAUAUAAAGAUCACCUCGAUCCGACAAACGGAACAAAAGUUACGGGCGUUUUAAUAUUCGGCUAAAAACUGGAAUUUAUUAAUUCCGAAAAUUCUUAUUGACUAACGGGCCUAUCACGGGGCGCACUAAAAUGAAAAAGUGCCCAGGCGGAGGAAUUUCACCUCGGCCACCUGGGCCUGGCCGGUUGGAGAGGAGGCCGGCCCGGUCGAUGUGCGGCACGGGAGAGGCCACACGGUGAUGGGCCGGCUGGAUGGGCGCGGCCCACAGCGGCGAGCGGGACGGCCUGCCUGGAGCAUCCCCCGUCGUCUCCCUCCUGGAGCACGGGCAGGACGGGGGUUCCAGCGGCGGCGGGCGGUCAACAGCGGCCGGCGACAAGGCUCCGGCGAGGGGGCCGGCCGGAUCUGGCGGCGGCGUGUGGAUCCGGN
rnacentral:lncRNA from 1 species